AUAAUCCACUGUGACCUUAAGCC
rnacentral:piRNA from 1 species